GAUUCUGUGAUCAGUCAUCCCUUCUUGCUGGUGAAUGAAGGCAGUGGUCACAACUCUCCCCAGAGAAGGUGGUGUGAGGCCAUCACGGAAGAUGCUGCUGCUUCUGCUGCUUCUGGGGCCAGGCUCCGGGCUUGGUGCUGUCGUCUCUCAACAUCCGAGCAGGGUUAUCUGUAAGAGUGGAACCUCUGUGAAGAUCGAUUGCCGUUCCCUGGACUUUCAGGCCACAACUAUGUUUUGGUAUCGUCAGUUCCCGAAACAGAGCCUCAUGCUGAUGGCAACUUUGAAUGAGGGCUCUGGGGUCACAUAUGAGCAAGGCGUCAGGAAGGAGAAGUUUCCCAUCAACCAUCCAAACUUGACCUUGUCCACUCUGACAGUGACAAGUGCCCAUCCUGAAGACAGCAGCUUCUACAUCUGCAGUGCUAGAGACACAGCGCCAGGAGGGGAUCUUUUUGAUGAGCAAUUCUUUUUGAAGUGUUGGACUUUCUGUUCUGAUUUUAUAUUCUACUCUCUGUGUUUUGUUGUAUUUAAAAUCAAGUUCACCUUUCAGAGGCAGUGA